AGUUAACUGCCAUGGAAGAGGCUGGCAGAAAGGAACUCAGACUGAAAGAUAGUAAAGGAUGGUUGUGUUUUGAACCAUAUAUUUCUUAAGAAAGACUAUCUUUUGUUUUGGCCUCUUUAUUUUUAAAAUAGUUGAACUUCCUGUACUGGAGUAACACCCCAUGCCUAGAGCCUCCCCCGCUGCUAUCAAAGGCAAUAGAUAUUAUAGAAGAGGAUUCCUGAAGGUAGAGAGGACUAAUUGGGGGAAAACGGUACAGAAGCAGUGACCAUGGAACCAAAAGAAGCUCUGUGCUCUGAGAAGAAGUGGAUGAGGAAUGAAUGGGGAAAGCACAAGUUAACAACAAUCAUGUGGACCCUGGGAUAUGCGAGUGAAGAAACAGUGAUGAUUCUCAGGAAGCCCUCCAACAGGUCCAGAGGACAGGAUUUUCCACAUGGCCCAUGCUGUGCAGAACACCAGCAUAGACAGACGGACAGAAUCACUGGUUUUGGAACUUGCCUUUCCAUACGCUGUUUUGAAUGAGAGCAAAAUCUGCUGCCGUUGCUUAUUAGAACGACUUCCAAGACAUUCAAUAAUUGCCUGUUCAUCGGUUCCUGUUCGUUGAUACAGACAGGGAAUUAAAUGAUUAGUAUGGCUUAUUCUAUUCUCAAAUGACUUCCUGUUCUUAUCAAUUUCAGUAGAAGUUAUUGCAGGAUUUCAGCUAAACGUGCAAAUUCAUUCAGGAACCAACAAAAGUCAGCCCUAUUGCAAGUCUUCUACUUUAAAUAAUCACUGCAUUGCAUUCCUUCACAUGCAUAUCCCCAUCUUUUUUUUUUUUUUUUUGCUGUAAACCUUGAGAUUGCUUUAAUGAAAGGCGGUAUAUAAAUUUAACAAUCAAUCAAUCAGUCGUCAACUACUACAUCUCUACUGUAUUGCACUUUUAGUGGUGAAGCUUCUAACACGGGUUGGCUGAGUUAGUAUGACAUCAUGGAAUACUCAUGAACAUUCUAGUUCCUCAAAAACACAGCAUUUUGGGUUUC